UACGUAGGGUGCAAGCGUUAAUCGGAAUUACUGGGCGUAAAGCGUGCGCAGGCGGUUUUGUAAGUCUGUCGUGAAAGCCCCGGGCUCAACCUGGGAACUGCAUUGGUGACUGGCAGGCUUUGAGUGUGGCAGAGGGAGGUAGAAUUCCACGUGUAGCAGUGAAAUGCGUAGAGAUGUGGAGGAAUACCGAUGGCGAAGGCAGCCUCCUGGGCCAACACUGACGCUCAUGCACGAAAGCGUGGGGAGCAAACAGG
rnacentral:rRNA from 1 species